rnacentral:rRNA from 1 species
GUGCCAGCCGCCGCGGUAAUACGUAGGUGGCAAGCGUUAUCCGGAAUUAUUGGGCGUAAAGCGCGCGUAGGCGGUUUUUUAAGUCUGAUGUGAAAGCCCACGGCUCAACCGUGGAGGGUCAUUGGAAACUGGAAAACUUGAGUGCAGAAGAGGAAAGUGGAAUUCCAUGUGUAGCGGUGAAAUGCGCAGAGAUAUGGAGGAACACCAGUGGCGAAGGCGACUUUCUGGUCUGUAACUGACGCUGAUGUGCGAAAGC